UGAGGAAUAUUGGUCAAUGGCCGAGAGGCUGAACCAGCCAAGUCGCGUGAGGGAUGAAGGUUCUAUGGAUCGUAAACCUCUUUUAUAAGGGAAUAAAGUGCGGGACGUGUCCCGUUUUGCAUGUACUUUAUGAAUAAGGAUCGGCUAACUCCGUGCCAGCAGCCGCGGUAAUACGGAGGAUCCGAGCGUUAUCCGGAUUUAUUGGGUUUAAAGGGAGCGUAGAUGGAUGUUUAAGUCAGUUGUGAAAGUUUGCGGCUCAACCGUAAAAUUGCAGUUGAUACUGGAUAUCUUGAGUGCAGUUGAGGCAGGCGGAAUUCGUGGUGUAGCGGUGAAAUGCUUAGAUAUCACGAAGAACUCCGAUUGCGAAGGCAGCCUGCUAAGCUGCAACUGACAUUGAGGCUCGAAAGUGUGGGUAUCAAACAGGAUUAGAUACCCUGGUAGUCCACACGGUAAACGAUGAAUACUCGCUGUUUGCGAUAUACGGCAAGCGGCCAAGCGAAAGCGUUAAGUAUUCCACCUGGGGAGUACGCCGGCAACGGUGAAACUCAAAGGAAUUGACGGGGGCCCGCACAAGCGGAGGAACAUGUGGUUUAAUUCGAUGAUACGCGAGGAACCUUACCCGGGCUUAAAUUGCAGAUGAAUUACGGUGAAAGCCGUAAGCCGCAAGGCAUCUGUGAAGGUGCUGCAUGGUUGUCGUCAGCUCGUGCCGUGAGGUGUCGGCUUAAGUGCCAUAACGAGCGCAACCCUUGUUGUCAGUUACUAACAGGUUCUGCUGAGGACUCUGACAAGACUGCCAUCGUAAGAUGUGAGGAAGGUGGGGAUGACGUCAAAUCAGCACGGCCCUUACGUCCGGGGCUACACACGUGUUACAAUGGGGGGUACAGAGGGCCGCUACCACGCGAGUGGAUGCCAAUCCCAAAAACCUCUCUCAGUUCGGACUGGAGUCUGCAACCCGACUCCACGAAGCUGGAUUCGCUAGUAAUCGCGCAUCAGCCACGGCGCGGUGAAUACGUUCCC
rnacentral:rRNA from 1 species